rnacentral:rRNA from 1 species
CUACGAAGGGGGCUAGCGUUGUUCGGAAUUACUGGGCGUAAAGCGCGCGUAGGCGGAUUGGUCAGUUAGGGGUGAAAUCCCAGGGCUUAACCCUGGAACUGCCUCCAAAACUUCCAAUCUAGAGACCGAGAGAGGUGAGUGGAAUUCCGAGUGUAGAGGUGAAAUUCGUAGAUAUUCGGAGGAACACCAGUGGCGAAGGCGGCUCACUGGCUCGGUACUGACGCUGAGGUGCGAAAGCGUGGGUAGCGAACGGGAUUAGAAACCCUAGUAGUCC